UUGUGCUCCAACUUUCUCGAGGCCUUUAUUCACUGGACCGCAUACAACAUUGAAAUUAUGUGGGUCAUCAUCGAUGUAAAUUCCAAAAUUACCCCCAUCCACAAUAGCUGGAACCGGAAGAAGAGUUGGUAUGCUCUAUUUCCCCAAGCUCCAUUCUCAAUGUCCACAAGCUCUGGUCCCCUUGCUCCAUGUCACGCAAUUGGGCGCCGGAGAAACAGCCUAUUGUCGUGAAGGCUAAGCUUGUUUCCAACAUCGCUGAGAAGAAGAUUAAGGAUGCUACUCACUGCUUCGAUUCGUUUGGAUAAACUCUUACCGAAGAUAAAAUCUUUGGGUGGAAUGAUACAUAAAAUAAAGGAGGGAGAAGACAGACAAUGGAUUUUAUGGCUUCCUUUUACAUUAAUAAUGGCACACAAGAUGUCCAAUCGAUCCACCGUUUCAAGUAGAGUACCAGAUGGUGACAUUUGGAACCUACCAACCCAGCCCAGCAUGUGUUCGACGAAAUGCCUCAAAGAGGACUGUUUGUUGGAACGCAAUGAUUUCAAGAAUGGAGAAGUGAACUCUCAAGCUCCUCAAUCCUUAUGGAGAUGUGCAAAGGCCUGGAAUCAAGCCGUAGCCGUUUUGGCUACCUGUAACAAUUCACCCUAAAAUCUGGACAUCAUGGGUGUAUAUAUACUCCACCUGCUAGGCCAAGCUGGGUAGUUUGAGGAAGCAAAAUAAGUUAUUCAAAGGAUUCCAAACAGAUCAUUUAGGUAUAUAAAAGCGACACAGAUAGAGAUUUGUUUUCUACUUCUUGUUAGAUGCUUCACUCCUUACCCACAGUGAUAGUUGCCCUUCAUUUUGUUGACUCCUUUUUCUAACUCCUUCUCCAGUGAUUGUCUAGUGGUUUUCAGCACUUAUCAUGUUUGUCAGUUCACACUAAAUCAUUUGCAACUCAGCAACCAAAGUCGAUUUUUUUUCUA